rnacentral:ncRNA from 1 species
UUCUUCGGGGCAGGGUGAGACUCCCUACCGGCGGUGACAGUCCGCGACUCCUCUGGAUAUAUUACAGGGGACUGAUCUGGUGAAAUUCCGGAACCGACAGUUAAAGUCUGGAUGAGAGAAGAA